rnacentral:rRNA from 1 species
UUUGGAGUCGUGAUUUUUUGAAAGAGUCCGAGUUGUAAUUUUGAGAACUGUUUUCUGUGCUGGACCAUGUACAAGUCUGUUGGAAAACAGCAUCAUUGAGGGUGAUAAUCCCGUACAUGAUAUGGACUACCAGUGCAAUAUGAUACAGUCUCUAAGAGUCGAGUUGUUUGGGAAUGCAGCUCAAAGUGGGUGGUAAAUUCCAUCUAAGGCUAAAUAUAGGUGAGAGACCGAUAGCAAACAAGUACCGUGAGGGAAAGAUGAAAAGAACUUUGGAAAGAGAGUUAACAGUACGUGAAAUUGUUAAAAGGGAAACAUUUGAAGUUAGACUUGUUAUUAUUGGUUCAGCUUCUUUUUUUAAUUAGGAGUCUAUUCCAUUGGUUGACAGACCAGCAUCAAUUUUUGAGUGUUAGAUAAGGGUCUUGAGAAUGUGGCAACUUUGGUUGUGUUAUAGCUCUUGGCUUGAUAUAAUGCUUAGGAUUGAGGAACGCAGUGAGCUUUUUAUAAGGGGAUCAGGGGGGUUUUA